rnacentral:lncRNA from 1 species
CCUAAACAGAGGGUAUGGGUACUCACAGUGCUCAGAGCCAUCGCUGUGCCCUGGUGCUGUGCUGUCUGUCCUGUAAGCAGUGUGCUGUAGCUGCUCUGGCAGUUUCCUUGCUGCCCUCUGGCAGCACUGCCCGGCUCCCACCCGGCUGACACACAAAGAUGGUGUGUAUGCAAUGCUGAUGGGGAGGAUCAGCCCAUGCCCUGUGCAGUGGGCAGAGGAAUGUGACAGAGCCACCAGUCCUUGGCACUGGGGUUAUCCACCGUGGCACCAUAGCCCUGCAGUGCUGCCACCUGUUACCACACUUGAGCUAAGGAGGCUGUCCCAGCUGGUGCUCCUGAGGCUGCCCAGGGUGCAGUCCAAGCCUUGCAUUUGCUCUAUAGGUUGAAUUUGGGGCUGCAAAAUAAACCACUGUGUUGAGUUCUUUGGCUGCACGCCUGUGACCUUUUCAUCCCGUGUAGCUGCUGUAUUUCCCAUGUGUUUGCAGCACUCUUCGCAGUCUCCUCCCUGAUCUGUGUCCCUGUGUGCCAGAAGCAUCGCUCAGUGAGACUUAAACAAGAAAUACCUUGUGCUACACUGCCACUUGUGCACCCUUGUUUGACUGAUGCUUGAUCCUGUCUGCUGGGAAGGCUGGCUGAAUGGAGGCAGACCCAUCUCCUCUUUCUCUCCUCUGGAACGUGCUUUCAGUCUGCUGCUGCAGUGCAGGUACCAAUAACAGAGGAAGAGGCAGAAGGUGCCCUGUGGUUUGCCGUUAGGGGCUGCUAGAAGCUGGUGAUGAGCAGCUGCUCCUGCAGUGUCAGGGAAUUCCUGCAGUGUGUGUGUUUAUGGGCACGGCAGGGUGGUGUGUGUGUGUGGGAUGGAGGCAGGAUUGCAGGUGGGGCAUUAAUGUUGGUGCUUUCCUCCCUUCUGCCACCUUCACACAGUUCUUUCCAGAUGCUCUAUCAGAAAUGUCUUCU